rnacentral:piRNA from 1 species
GGGGCCUUCGAUAGCUCAGUUGGUAGAG